GCCCCUUUAGCUCAGCUGGCCAGAGCACCGCUCUUGUAAAGCGGGGGUCGUCGGUUCGAACCCGACAAGGGGCUCCA
rnacentral:tRNA from 1 species